rnacentral:rRNA from 1 species
GACGAACGCUGGCGGCGUGCUUAACACAUGCAAGUCGAACGGAAAGGCCCCUUUGGGGGUACUCGAGUGGCGAACGGGUGCGUAACACGUGCGUAACCUGCCCUUGACUUCGGGAUAACUUCAGGAAACUGGGGCUAAUACCGGAUAGGAAUCCUUGCUGCAUGGUGGGGGUUGGAAAGCUUCGGCGGUUUUGGAUGGACUCGCGGCAUAUCAGCUUGUUGGUGGGGUAGUGGCUUACCAAGGCUUUGACGGGUAGCCGGCCUGAGAGGGCGACCGGCCACAUUGGGACUGAGAUGCGGCACAGACUCCUACGGGAGGCAGCAGGGGGGAAGAUUGCACAAUGGGCGGAAGCCUGAUGCAGAAACGCCGCGUGCGGGAUGACGGCCUUCGGGUUGUAAACCGCUUUCAGCAGGGGCGAAGCUUGUGGUGACGGUACCUGAAGAAGAAGCACCGGCUAACUACGUG